AUUGAACGCUAGCGGCAUGCUUUACACAUGCAAGUCGAACGAGUGGCGGACGGGUGAGUAAUGUCUGGGAACGUGCCUAGUAGAGGGGGAUAACUACUCGAAAGCGUGGCUAAUACCGCAUACUCUUGGAUCUGCCCAUAUGGGAUUAGCUUGUUGGUGGGGGAAGGGCUCACCAAGGCACCGAUCCCUAGCUGGUCUGAGAGGAUGACCAGCAACACGGGAACGGAGCCACGGCCCAGACUCCUACGGGAGGCAGCAGGGGGGAAUAUUGCACAAGGGGGGAAACCCUGAUACAGCCACGCCGCGUGUAUGAAGAAGGCCUGCGGGUUGUAAAGUACUUUCAGCGGAGAGGCGUUACCUGAAGAAGAAGCACCGGCUAACUCCGUGCCAGCAGCCGCGGUAAUAC
rnacentral:rRNA from 1 species